GUAUCAACGCAGAGUAGGGGUCCUGAGAGGGAGAUCCCCCACACUGGUACUGAGACACGGACCAGACUCCUACGGGAGGCAGCAGUGAGGAAUAUUGGUCAAUGGGCGCGAGCCUGAACCAGCCAUCCCGCGUGGAGGAAGACGGUCCUAUGGAUUGUAAACUCCUUUUAUACAGGGAUAAACCUAUCUACGUGUAGAUAGCUGAAGGUACUGUAUGAAUAAGCACCGGCUAACUCCGUGCCAGCAGCCGCGGUAAUACGGAGGGUGCGAGCGUUAUCCGGAUUUAUUGGGUUUAAAGGGUCCGUAGGUGGUUUAAUAAGUCAGUGGUGAAAUUCUGUUGCUCAACAAUAGACGUGCCAUUGAUACUGUUAGACUUGAAUCAGAUUGCAGUGGUUGGAAUGUGUGGUGUAGCGGUGAAAUGCAUAGAUAUCACACAGAACACCGAUUGCGAAGGCAGAUCACUAAGUCUGUAUUGACGCUGAUGGACGAAAGCGUGGGGAGCGAACAGGAUUAGAUACCCUGGUAGUCCACGCCGUAAACGAUCUGUAUUAGGUGUAGGGUUAAACCUGUGCCACAGCUAACGCAUUAAAUACAGCGCCUGGGUAGUAUGCACGCAAGUGUGAAACUCAAAGGAAUUGACGGGGACCCGCACAAGUGGUGGAGCAUGUGGAUUAAUUCGAUGCAACGCGAAGAACCUUACCAACGUUUGACAUCUUCUGCAAUGCUAUAGAGAUAUAGCGGAGGUUAACAGAAUGACAGGUGGUGCAUGGUUGUCGUCAGCUCGUGUCGUGAGAUGUUGGGUUAAGUCCCGCAACGAGCGCAACCCUUACCUUUAGUUGCCAGCAUUAAGUUGGGCACUUUAAAGGGACUGCCUGCGUUAAGCAGGAGGAAGGUGGGGAUGACGUCAAGUCCUCAUGGCCCUUAUGUCCAGGGCUACACACGUGCUACAAUGGUGGUCACAGAGGGAAGCUAAGUCGCAAGAUGGAGCAAAUCCCUUAAAAACCAUCCAAGUUCGGAUUGGUCUCUGCAACUCGAGACCAUGAAGUUGGAAUCGCUAGUAAUCGCGGAUCAGCAUUGCCGCGGUGAAUACGUUCCCGGGCCU
rnacentral:rRNA from 1 species